GCUAGGGUUCAGGUUGCCUCCACUGUUGCUCCUUGAUUGCUUCCGUCUCUUGGUGAUGCAGGUCCAAACUGCCAAUUAUUUUCCGGCGAACUUAGAUUGAGCGACUCUAUUCUGCCAGUGCUUUUGGCCGAGGGAAACAAACGUAUACAAUAGAUGUGCAUGAGGCAGCAGAUUCAACUGAUCACCGGUGGCACAUGACGGGCCUCGACAAGCCAAAGAUAUCCAAAAGUAAGGGAGUGAUAAUUAUUGGCGACGCCUUAUGGCUACACAAUGUGAAUAUGCAGGAGGGUGGUUAUGCAUCCUUUUUCUACCCCUACAAGGGCUACCAGGGGCGUGCAGCAUAGUGUCAACUUAUUAUUCAUUCAAAGUUACAAGAAAAUGAAGAUCCUAUAACUCAAGCUGAUAAGACGAAGUGCCAUCCCGCCAGCGCUGCCGUCAUCACCCAUUCUCCUAUCCAAGCAGAUGUUGAAUUUUCCCCACAAGGAGACAUGAUGGCUUUUCACCUUAUUCUAUUUAUAUCGUUCUGAUUAGUUUUCAUUACCCUGUACUUUGAUUAUCUAGACAAAUAUACUGUAGCUGGCCAC